GAGGCUAAUCAUGACACACUGUUUCUUGUUUUUUAGGAUCUCUUGCAGUUGGGUGAUGGCCACGUGACCUAGUUCUAGACUGAGAAGGAAUCAACUGGGAAGGAAAACAUAAGGGGCUCCACAUGAGGAAAGGAGAUAUAGCCAGCGUCACUCUGUCUCCCUCUUCCUGCUUUGAAAAUGACUGUGAACUCCACUUGUGCCCUCUAGGUCAAAAUGCAUUCUACUGU
rnacentral:lncRNA from 1 species